UGGGGAAUAUUGGACAAUGGGCGAAAGCCUGAUCCAGCCAUGCCGCGUGUGUGAAGAAGGUCUUCGGAUUGUAAAGCACUUUAAGUUGGGAGGAAGGGCAGUUACCUAAUACGUAAUUGUUUUGACGUUACCGACAGAAUAAGCACCGGCUAACUCUGUGCCAGCAGCCGCGGUAAUACAGAGGGUGCAAGCGUUAAUCGGAAUUACUGGGCGUAAAGCGCGCGUAGGUGGUUCGUUAAGUUGGAUGUGAAAUCCCCGGGCUCAACCUGGGAACUGCAUUCAAAACUGUCGAGCUAGAGUAUGGUAGAGGGUGGUGGAAUUUCCUGUGUAGCGGUGAAAUGCGUAGAUAUAGGAAGGAACACCAGUGGCGAAGGCGACCACCUGGACUGAUACUGACACUGAGGUGCGAAAGCGUGGGGAGCAAACA
rnacentral:rRNA from 1 species